UGCGUAAUCUGGGAAUCGAACCCAGGGCUCCCCGAUACUUGUUGGCAACGGAGAAUUUUACCACUAAACCAAUUACGC
rnacentral:tRNA from 1 species